CCUACGGGUGGCAGCAGUGAGGAAUAUUGGUCAAUGGACGAGAGUCUGAACCAGCCAAGUAGCGUGAAGGAUGACUGCCCUAUGGGUUGUAAACUUCUUUUAUAUGGGAAUAAAACGUUCCACGUGUGGGAUUUUGUAUGUACCAUAUGAAUAAGGAUCGGCUAACUCCGUGCCAGCAGCCGCGGUAAUACGGAGGAUCCGAGCGUUAUCCGGAUUUCUUGGGUUUAAGGGGAGCGUAGGUGGAUUGUUAAGUCAGUUGUGAAAGUUUGCGGCUCAACCGUAAAAUUGCAGUUGAAACUGGCAGUCUUGAGUACAGUAGAGGUGGGCGGAAUUCGUGGUGUAGCGGUGAAAGGCUUAGAUAUCACGAAGAACUCCGAUUGCGAAGGCAGCUCACUGGACUGCAACUGACACUGAGGCUCGAAAGUGUGGGUAUCAAACAGGAUUAGAUACCCUUGUAGUC
rnacentral:rRNA from 1 species